rnacentral:rRNA from 1 species
UUACCCUACGGGGGGCAGCAGUGGGGGAUAUUGCACAAUGGGGGGAACCCUGAUGCAGCGACGCCGCGUGGGUGAAGAAGCGCCUCGGCGCGUAAAGCCCUGUCAGCAGGGAAGAAAAUGACGGUACCUGAAGAAGAAGCCCCGGCUAACUACGUGCCAGCAGCCGCGGUAAUACGUAGGGGGCAAGCGUUAUCCGGAUUUACUGGGGGUAAAGGGAGCGUAGACGGCAGUGCAAGUCUGGAGUGAAAGGCGGGGGCUCAACCCCCGGACUGCUCUGGAAACUGUACGGCUGGAGUGCGGGAGAG